AGCCUUCUGUAUCCGUGCUGAGAUUUCGUCACACAUCAGACCACAAGGGCUGGUGAGACUUCCAAGUGAAGCG
rfam:Schistosoma haematobium scaffold5963_1, whole genome shotgun sequence.